rnacentral:rRNA from 1 species
CCUACGGGUGGCAGCAGUGAGGAAUAUUGGUCAAUGGACGAGAGUCUGAACCAGCCAAGUAGCGUGAAGGAUGACUGCCCUAUGGGUUGUAAACUUCUUUUAUAUGGGAAUAAAAUGUUCCACGUGUGGGAUUUUGUAUGUACCAUCUGAAUAAGGAUCGGCUACCUCCGUGCCAGCAGCCGCGGUAAUACGGAGGAUCCGAGCGUUAUCCGGAUUUAUUGGGUUUAAAGGGAGCGUAGGUGGAUUGUUAAGUCAGUUGUGAAAGUUUGCGGCUCAACCGUAAAAUUGCAGUUGAAACUGGCAGUCUUGAGUACAGUAGAGGUGGGCGGAAUUCGUGGUGUAGCGGUGAAAUGCUUAGAUAUCACGAAGAACUCCGAUUGCGAAGGCAGUUCACUGGACUGCAACUGACACUGAGGCUCGAAAGUGUGGGUAUCAAACAGGAUUAGAUACCCUUGUAGUC